UCCUAGUUAACCUAGGCAGUCUCAUUAGAGUUCCCACCAUUACGUGUUGGCAACUAAUGACAAGGGUUGCGCUCGUUGCGGGACUUAACCCAACACCUCACGGCACGAGCUGACGACAGCCAUGCAGCACCUGUGCAAAGGCCCCGAAGGGAAAUGAUAUCUCUACCAUCGUCCUCUGCAUGUCAAGUCUGGGUAAGGUUCUUCGCGUUGCAUCGAAUUAAACCACAUACUCCACUGCUUGUGCGGGUCCCCGUCAAUUCUUUUGAGUUUCACCCUUGCGAGUGUACUCCUCAGGCGGUAUACUUAUCGCGUUAGCUACGGCAAAACUGGGGUUGAGUCCAGCUACACCUAGUAUACAUCGUUUACGGCAAGGACUAC
rnacentral:misc_RNA from 1 species